rnacentral:misc_RNA from 1 species
GAUGAAGAACGUAGCGAAAUGCGAUACUUGGUGUGAAUUGCAGAAUCCCGUGAACCAUCGAGUCUUUGAACGCAAGUUGCGCCUCAAGCCAUUAGGUUGAGGGCACGUCUGCCUGGGCGUCACAUAUCGUUGCCUGAUGCCAGUUUCCUCGUGAUGGGUGACUGUGCAGGGCGAAUGAUGGCUUCCCGUGAGCAUUGUUGCCUCAUGGUUGGUUGAAAAUUGAGUCCUUGGUAGGGAGCGCCGUGAUAAAUGGUGGUUGAGUGACGAACGAGACCCAAUCAUGUGAGACCCCUACCGAAUUUGGCCUCCAUGACCCACAUGCGUCUUUGGAACGCUCAUGACGAGACCUCAGGUCAGGCGGGGCUACCCGCUGAGUUUAAGCAUAUCAAUAAGCGGAGGA